GGCAGCUCUCUAUGGGGCGCUGUGGGGCGCUGUGGGGUGACUGUGUGCCCCAUAGGGAAUGCGGCGCUUUGAGGCCCUAUGGGGCAGGUGUCUAUGGGGCGCUAUGUGGCACUAUGGGGCAGGUCCCUAUGGGGCGCUGUGGGGCGCUGUGGGGUGACUGUGUGCCCCAUAGGGAAUGCGGCGCUUUGAGGCCCUAUGGGGCGCUAUGGGGCAGGUCUCUAUGGGGCGCUGUGGGGUGACUGUGUGCCCCAUAGGGAAUGCGGCGCUUUGAGGCCCUAUGGGGCGCUGUGGGGCAGGUCUCUAUGGGGCGCUGUGGGGCGCUGUGGGGCGCUGUGGGGUGACUGUGUGCCCCAUAGGGAAUGCGGCGCUUUGAGGCCCUAUGGGGCGCUGUGGGGCAGGUCUCUAUGGGUCUCUAUGGGGCGCUGUGGGGUGACUGUGUGCCCCAUAGGGAAUGCGGCGCUUUGAGGCCCUAUGGGGCAGGUCUCUAUGGGGCGCUAUGGGGCACUAAGAGGCAGGUCUCUAUGGGGCGCUGUGGGGCGCUGUGGGGCGCUGUGGGGUGACUGUGUGCCCCAUAGGGAAUGCGGCGCUUUGAGGCCCUAUGGGGCGCUGUG
ensembl:lncRNA